UGCGAUGUGGAAGAGCAGGUUAAUUCGUGAGGCUCAUAACCUCAAGACCGGCGGUUCGAAUCCGUCCAUCGCUCAU